GACGAACGCUGGCGGCAUGCCUAACACAUGCAAGUCGAACGGUAAGGCUUCCUUCGGGAAGUACACGAGUGGCGAACGGGUGAGUAACACGUGGGUAACCUACCCUUGACUGGGGGACAACCGAGGGAAACUUCGGCUAAUACCGCAUAACGUGCAUUGCCUCAAGGUGGUGUACCAAAGCUCCGGCGGUUAAGGAUGGGCCCGCGGCACAUUAGCUUGUUGGUGAGGUAACGGCUUACCAAGGCGACGAUCUGUAGCUGGGCUGAGAGGACGAUCCGCCACACUGGAACUGAGGCACGGUCAAGGCACCUACGGGAGGCAGCAGUGGGGAAUCUUGCGAAAGGGGCGAAAGCCUGACGAGGCAAUGCCGCGUGAGGGACGACGGCCUUAGGGUUGUAAACCUCUUUCAGCAGGGACGAACACAGACGGUACCUGCAGAAGAAGCCCCGGCUAACUACGUGCCAGCCGCCGCGGUAA
rnacentral:rRNA from 1 species